GGCUUGGUGGUGUAAUGGGAAGAUGCCUACUUCAUAUAAGUACCAGCGACAGUUUGGCAGGGGAUCCCUUGUUCGACUCAAGGCUGAGUCA